rnacentral:rRNA from 1 species
GGCUUGACGGUACUGUACGAAUAAGGAUCGGCUAACUCCGUGCCAGCAGCCGCGGUAAUACGGAGGAUCCAAGCGUUAUCCGGAAUUAUUGGGUUUAAAGGGUCCGCAGGCGGUCUAUUAAGUCAGAGGUGAAAUCCUGCAGCUCAACUGUAAAAUUGCCUUUGAUACUGAUAGACUUGAGUCAUUGUGAAGUGGUUAGAAUGUGUGGUGUAGCGGUGAAAUGCAUAGAUAUCACACAGAAUACCAAUUGCGAAGGCAGAUCACUAACAAUGUACUGACGCUCAUGGACGAAAGCGUGGGGAGCGAACAGGAUUAGAUACCCUGGUAGUCCACGCCGUAAACGAUGGAUACUAACUGUUCGUC